UGUCAUUUUGAGUGUCCCCUCUUUCUCUUCUCGAGGUGUUGUAGCUGGCUUAAGAGGGCAGAUGGAAGCAUCUGCCUCGGGCAGGUGAGCGGGCAGAGGUGUCUCGCACAGACUCAAAGGAGCAAACUGCAUUCUGAAGAGCUGUGUGCCAUGGCUAGCAGUCCACAGAAGUGGCUGAUGAUUUGAGAUAAGACCGGAGAGCGGCAAGGAGCGGCACGUGCAGUUAUGCCUUCCAAGCACUGCGGCUGCUCUGUUCUG